UGCUACAUAGUUUAACAGUAAGAACGUCGGUCUUGUAAGCCGACAGUGACCAUCAGUCUGUCGCAU
rnacentral:tRNA from 1 species